rnacentral:rRNA from 1 species
UACGGAGGAGGCAAGCGUUAUCCGGAAUUAUUGGGCGUAAAGCGUCCGCAGGUGGCACCUCAAGUCUGCUGUCAAAGACCGGGGCUUAACCCCAGAAAGGCAGUGGAAACUGAAGUGCUAGAGUGCAGUAGGGGUAGAGGGAAUUCCCGGUGUAGCGGUGAAAUGCGCAGAUAUCAGGAAGAACACCCGUGGCGAAGGCGGCUCUCUGGUACGUGACUGACGCUGAGACGCGAAAGCGUGGGGAGCGAACAGG